rnacentral:lncRNA from 1 species
GUGCAGUGUGCGCUUUGUGCAGGUGUGUUUGGAUGUGGACGCAUCUGCUCUGCUGUGUGUGUGUGAUGCAGCACUGCAGCGACCUCUGACCUCUAUAGAUGGCGCUCUUCAUCCCAUCGGACACAGCGGCGCUACGAGCCUCAUGACAGCGCUGAGCGCACUCAUGCUAAUGACGCAGGAUCUGAUGGUCAGCGCCGGUCUGAACUGUCUCAGGUCUCUGAUGGGAUUUCUGCGCAGACGGAGCCCUGAAACCGCUGGUGUGUUUCAGCGGCGGCGUCUCACACUGGAGGACUGAAGUUGAGUCUGUGUGUGAAGAGAUUGAGAAACAAGGAGCGACGAACCUCACCGAUGACAGCACACACACACUGAGACUAAUGCUCACACAGUGUUGUGCUCUUUCUCCUCCUGAUGAUCUGAGGAUGAGGAUGGAGGCUAUACAAGAGUCACUAAGACAUCUUCCUCCCUCUGAGAGCUCAAGCAGACACAUGCUUCGGGUUGGACGGGUGUCUGUCUGUCUGUCUGACUUCACAAUCAGCACUCAGGACCUAUGAAACACAGCC